CUCUGAGGUGCCAGACACAUCAUAGCUUAAAAUGUACAUCAAACCUUGUUGAUUUUGAAAAUCGAAAUGAAAAUUCCAUGAAAUGCGUUUUUUGGGGUGAUAUCGUCCGUCAAAGUUGCGAAAUGACUUAAGCUGGGCUCCCUGUGGAAUAUCGCGGAUUUGAUGGCUUGGGAUGAAUGAGGUGUGAUGACGUCAGAUAGUGGAACAUGUUGGAUAACUGGAGCUGAAUCAACCAAAUUUCGCUAUGGAAGUAUGGCUGUUCUUUAUCAAUUUGAGCCGGAAAUUGCUUGAGGAGAAGAAUAUAAUACACCCGAUGAAAGUGUGAGCGAGGACAGUGAGCUAGAAGAAGUGGCGAACGAGGAAAGGCUUCUAGGAAUCGAUGUGGUGUACGUGUCAGCAACUUCAUCUUCACUUCCAUCUUCUUUAAAGCCAGUAUCUUCCUCAUACAUUCCGGGAAGGUAGAUCUUUAAUAUCUUAGAUACCACACAUGCUGAUCUUUUUGCUAAGAUAACCGUGCAUUCACCAUGUAAUUAUAAAUUGGCGAUAUMAGAACUAGCACAACGCAGAGGGCUGAAAAAGCAUUUCAGCGAAAUGAAUAUGCAUUGAACGUAUACGUAUAUGAUAUAGAAAAUACCGGAAAAAGCUCACUUAUUUGGAAUAUAAGAACGUAAUAGAAAAUACUUAAAGAAACUCACUUAUUUGUAAUAUUUGUUCAAUUUGGAAUGAGCCUUCUCUGUCAUGAAGAGAAACUAUUAAAUGCAGUCCUAAGCACAUCUCGGUUCAGACACAAUAGUCGUGAUGCAUGUCAUGUCUAAUAAUUACGUUGAGUUUAACAUCAGAAAAUAUUGAAAUCUUAAGUGAAAUAAAAUGUUUCAUUUACCUCAUAAUCUUUUACCUAAUAAGCUCAUUUAACAACAUAAAAACAUAUCAGCUAGCUGUUUUCAUCACGACACAUUGUUGAUUUUAAGAUCGAUUCCUAGAAGCCUUUCCUCGUUCGCCACUUCUUCUAGCUCACUGUCCUCGCUCACACUUUCAUCGGGUGUAUUAUAUUCUUCUCCUCAAGCAAUUUCCGGCUCAAAUUGAUAAAGAACAGCCAUACUUCCAUAGCGAAAUUUGGUUGAUUCAGCUCCAGUUAUCCAACAUGUUCCACUAUCUGACGUCAUCACACCUCAUUCAUCCCAAGCCAUCAAAUCCGCGAUAUUCCACAGGGAGCCCAGCUUAAGUCAUUUCGCAACUUUGACGGACGAUAUCACCCCAAAAAACGCAUUUCAUGGAAUUUUCAUUUCGAUUUUCAAAAUCAACAAGGUUUGAUGUACAUUUUAAGCUAUGAUGUGUCUGGCACCUCAGAGUCCCUUUAAAGAUGGCGCUCUUUGCUUCUCUCAAAAUGUUUUCAUUUUCUUACCUAUAAAUCGCUAAUGAUGUAAAUAUAAGUUUUCAGUUUAUAAGAUUAUGGAUUAAGAAAGAGUAGAAAGUAUUUUUAGUGCAGAAAGAGCCUAAAGUGAGUCACAUUUUAAGCUUUUGCUCGUCUUGGAUGAUCAUGACGUGAGAACCGAAAUUCAAAGCUUAAGAUCACUGGUGAGAUAAUCUUUUGAGUGUAAUAGAGGCCACAUACCUGACAUGGAUGAUGGUGGUGUCCUUGGGUCCCUGGCUGCUGAUGUUCUUGGUCUUCCUAUGUGGAGGACUGUGGUGUUCUGCUUUGGUUACACAUGCAAAUGAGAUCUAGUUUUCGUUAGACAUUUAAUUAUUUCAAUUUACAGCAUGAAUUCAGGGUAUAACUGUGCCUUCCCCAGACUCUAAUUGGCUUAAAAUCCUCCGAAUAACUCCCACAGCAAAGAACUAAUAAGAUUCAAUAAAUAUGUAACUGAGAUAUAUAUGACGCUGUUACAUGAUCUUCGUAGAUAAAUUUAUUUACAAAGAGAAAUAUAUGAUUUUCCAAGUUUAUAGGCUUAAGAUUUUCAUAUAGUUUUGUAAAUGUUUUUUAUAGGCUUUUCCUAUUUUUACAUCUAAUAAAUGGCCUAACUAAACUAAGUGUAUCAACUAGGCGUUGUGUGCUGGUAUAUUUAUCAUUAUAAAGAAGUAUUAUGGUAGGUGUUGAAAAUAAUGUUUUUUCUAAUUGGUAUUUGUCUAGAUCAUUCUAAAAUUAAAGAGAAUUUUGAAGUUGAUAAUUUUUGCACUGACGACAUAAUUAUGUGAUACAUCAAG